UACGGAGGAUCCAAGCGUUAUCCGGAUUUAUUGGGUUUAAAGGGUGCGUAGGGCGGCCUAGUUAAGUCAGGGUGAAAGACGGUGGCUCAACCAUCGCAGUGCCUUUGAUACUGAUAGGCUUGAAUACACUAGAGGUAGGCGGAAUGUGACAGUAGCGGUGAAAUGCGUAGAUAUCGGAAAGGAACAUCAGUGGCGAAAAGCGGCUUC
rnacentral:rRNA from 1 species